CUAUAUUUUGUUUUAAUCUUUAUAGGAGCGUGAGAGAGAUUUCCUAGGCCAGCUUGCAGCUCUCAGUCAACUUGGUAAAGAUGAGCUUAACAACAUGGUUCAUACAGCUAUAGCAGAGGAUGGUGGCGAUGAGAAUGAUGCCAAGAAGCUGAGCAAGGAUCUCAACAAACGAAUCAAGACGGCCAAGACGAGACCAGACAUGGAGCCUGGAGAGAUGGAGGAUGAACCGAUGGAAGAGAAACCCAAGAAGAGAAAGAAGAAGAAAGGAAAAAAAACAUCUCCAUCAGAAGAUUCAUAUUGAGAAUAUUGAUAAACAAUGAUGGAAACAUGGAGGAAGACUUGGUGAAGGAGAGAAUCUAAAGAAGAACUUAGAAGUCAAAGAAAAGAAAGGAAUAUAUGAAUUUAAAAAAAAACUGUUGAGACAGAAAUUUUGAAAAUUGUGAAAGUCUGGGGAAAGGGUAAUGAGUCCUAUAAAACAUCGCAUUUGAACCUCAAAAAGAGAAGAAGAAAAAAAUUUAUGUGUUUCUUAUCAUCUUGGGAUAUAUAUCAUGAAUUUGUAAUUAGGUGUUCAAAUUAAAUCAUGAUUGACAAUGUAUUUGCUUCUGGGGAAAACAAACAAACAAACAAACAAAAUAAAACAACAGCAAAAAGUCUUGCCCUGUCUUGCUAGUGUAAGCAGUCUUGGAUGUGUUUGAGAAGUGAUCCCUAUGAGUGUAUUUCAUUAACUUAUUAAAUUAUUGCAGACUCCACUAUAUUUGUACAUGUAUGAAAUGAUGACAUUUCUAAAGUAACCUGUCCCCAAGAAGUGGGUUCCAUCAACCAAACCAAAGCUUGAAAAUUCACCUUGAGAAAUAUUUAUGUAAAUAAUUAUGCACCUUGAUCUUUGUAAAUAAUGUAAUUAGUGAACAAAUUUUAUGUAUGUAAUGUAAAGCUCUUUGAGUGGAUCUGAAAUAUAGGUAUUUUAUGUAAAGAAACUUUGAACAACUAUUUGUUGUGUGUGCCAUGUUGUCUUUCAGAUGAAAAUUAAUGAAGCUUUUUGCAUUUCAUUGUUCUUAAGUUUCUCAGUAGACAUCGACUCUUAUGGUUUUAUGUAUAUGUUUUAUAUAAAAUGUCCAUAUAAUUGAACUGGCAUUACAAGGUAAGUGAUGAAGAAAUAGUUUGAUGCAAGAAUCAUGACUGUUCUUUACAAUUCUCAGGAUCAAUGUCUUGUUUGUGUGAUAUAGAAUAUAUUUUAAGUAAAUGAUAAUUUAAUGUAUGUGUACACAACAUGUACAAAGAAUAAAAUUUACCAUAGAGGCUUCAUAAUGUCUAAUUUUUGCUUCAAUUUGCAAACGAUGUUCACUUCUGUGUUGAGAGAAUGUAUAUUUUUCUUAAUAUAAAAUAAUUUUAUGGUGAAGUUUCCCCAACUCUCUUGUAAAAUUGGUAAAUCUCAAGAAAUAUACAUUUGAAAAAAAAAUGUAACCUGACCUUGUGAAACUAUAUUUUUUGUAAAAUGCAUAUUUCCUUAUUUUAUGGCUUAACAAUGCAAAUAUGGUGUAAAUGUUCUAUUGACAGUUUUUUUAAAUCUUAAAUAAACAAAAAUGAUAAGGAAUUAUUUAAAGACAUCUCUUUUGUGUAUCUGGUAAUUGUGAAAUUAUAUACAAAUAAACAGAAAAUACAAAUUUUUAUUUUUAAUUUUAAACCGAUACAUAACACAUGUGUAUAUAGUGUUGAUGUAGCAGUGUGUGUCAUCAGGGAUUUAUCUUCCCAUUUUAUAUUGUAUAAACUUUUAGCGUAAUAUGUAUAUUUAUUUUGUAAUGUAAAAUAUGUGUUGUAGCAUUGGAAAUAAAUUAUGUGCUGAAGUAUA
rnacentral:lncRNA from 1 species